GAUAGGGAAUAGGCUUUGAUGGGUAACAAAUAUGCAACCAAAGAUGAAGAAAAAGUAAGUGUGUGUGUGUGUGUGUGUGUGUGUGUGUGUGUGUGUGGUCGAAUCCUUUUAAUAACCCCUGGGUAAAUAACCAGGCUCAGGACACUCUGUUGGACACAUGGUGGGUGAACAUUUUGGGUGAAAUAAUUUCUCCUCUUGUCAUUCUCCUUUACCACAGAGCAAGCCUGAGAGCAAUUUUAUUAAUGGGAGAAGGCGGACAGAAUGGGCACCAUCUUUACUGAGUUUGGAUGCCAGCUGUUCCUAGGAGCUGUUUGGGAAAGUUGUCUGUCGGCACUUGGUGACUUUGGGGACCUGUGUGAAGUUGCAUUCUUCUUUUUCAAGGGAAAGGGCUAACAAUUCACUGGUAGGUUGAAUUUGAAAGAAGCCUUACCACUAGGAGGAGGGAGCAGCCCCGAAUUCUAAUUUUCUCAGUGUCCAGGCAGCCCAAGGUGAGCUCUCAGUGUCAUUUUAGGACAGUCAUGCUUAAUGCACCAUAGAACCUCAAUAAAUUCUAGAAUAUAUAUUUCUAAACAGAUGAUCAGUGAUUGCUCUAGGGAAGUGGGGCUUUCUGAUCACUUUCAGAAGUAGGGAUUAAUUCAUGGUAGAUUUGUUUACAAAGCAGGGCUAUGCAUGAGUGAAAUACACCUAAUGAUGUGUGAUGCUAUCAUAUUGUACCUAUAGUAAUUUUGGCUGCUUUUCAAGCCUGACGUUGUCUGUGUCACUGCUUCUGAUGUUCAAAGCUUGCUUCUUAGUUUGUUAGAGGUUCCCCCCCUUUUCUUUUUCCUAAGGAACCUCUUAAAUUUAUUAUGGUUAGACACCUUCUUCCUCAAUGAUCUAUGUUCAAGUCGCACAGAUUAAAAUAUGCUCCUUUGACUAUGUGUGAGUGAUACUUCAAAGGAAUGUCUUGUCCAUAUUUACUGACCAGAUCAAGCAUCCGUCAUGCACCAUGUACACCACGGUGCACCACAGCUGAGACUCGUGUGGAUCCCACCAGCAGUGACUUUUCCAAAGGACCCAGACAAAUGCGUGGUAUUUCUGAGAGUAUCCUCUUCUGCAUCUUUAGGGUAAUCUACCUCGACACACAGAAAUGCAAUGAUCACAGAGGCCAGAAGGCUUCCCAGAAGUAGCCAAGGUAUCAACUUUGGGAUCCUGAAUUUCAGCCAAAGGAAACAGGACUGAGUGAAGCCUGAAAUCUUGAGGCAGUAAAACACAGAAAGGCAGGUGGCAAACCAGAGGCUGAUAGAGCUAAAAAACAUCCAAAAAAACAUCAUUGCUGCACCAUAAAUUUUUGCGAUAUAAAAGUUUGGAAAGAACACAGAGAAGAAACUUUGUACCAUUAACACCAUCAGCAGACCAAAUCUAGACAUCCCUAUGCACAUUAAGAGAAUUUGCAUUGGCAUUAGCUUUCUAUGUUUGAUCAAUUCAUUGCAGUUAACAAUGAUAAGAAAUCCAUUUACUGUGAUCCCCGUGAAGAAUUCUGCUGACAUGAUGAUAACAUGAAGAAUAGCUGAAAAAGAGAAGGCCAUGUUUCCUAGGACAAGUCUUGGCUUUUCCUUGUAGAUGGUCCUGAAUACUCCCUCCAGAUGAUCUUGCUGAUGGGAACACACAGCACCGAGAAAUCUGAUCUUCUGUCAGCUCCUGUGUCAUGGGUAGAGUCUUACACUAGCUUUUCCUCUAACGAAGAAAAUCAGAGACUACUUUUUGAAUCUGGUGCUCUUCAGAUGAAACUGGAGGA
ensembl:lncRNA